rnacentral:rRNA from 1 species
GACGAACGCUGGCGGCGUGCUUAACACAUGCAAGUCGAACGGAAAGGCCCUGCUUUUGUGGGGUGCUCGAGUGGCGAACGGGUGAGUAACACGUGAGUAACCUGCCCUUGACUUUGGGAUAACUUCAGGAAACUGGGGCUAAUACCGGAUAGGAGCUCCUGCUGCAUGGUGGGGGUUGGAAAGUUUCGGCGGUUGGGGAUGGACUCGCGGCUUAUCAGCUUGUUGGUGGGGUAGUGGCUUACCAAGGCUUUGACGGGUAGCCGGCCUGAGAGGGUGACCGGCCACAUUGGGACUGAGAUACGGCCCAGACUCCUACGGGAGGCAGCAGUGGGGAAUAUUGCACAAUGGGCGGAAGCCUGAUGCAGCAACGCCGCGUGCGGGAUGACGGUCUUCGGGUUGUAAACCGCUUUCGCCUGUGACGAAGCGUGAGUGACGGUAAGGGGUAAAGAAGCACCGGCUAACUACG